rnacentral:rRNA from 1 species
UACCUGUUCCCAUUCCGAACACAGAAGUCAAGCCCAGUAGCGCCGAUUAUACUGCGAAAGCGGGAAACUAGGAAGGUGCCAAAU